rnacentral:rRNA from 1 species
UACGUAGGGGGCAAGCGUUAUCCGGAUUUACUGGGUGUAAAGGGAGCGUAGACGGUUAUGUAAGUCUGGAGUGAAAGGCUGUGGCUCAACCAUAGUAUGCUUUGGAAACUGUUCAACUUGAGUGCGGAAGGGGAGAGUGGAAUUCCAUGUGUAGCGGUGGAAUGCGUAGAUAUAUGGAGGAACACCGGUGGCGAAAGCGGCUCUCUGGCCUGUAACUGACACUGAGGCUCGAAAGCGUGGGGAGCAAACAGG